CCUUUAACUAGUGACGUGUAGUCUCACAGGCGUCGUGUGUUCGGUAAAUUCUUAGAAUUGACGAUUUCCCCCCGCUUGCCGCGACCCGGCGUCUCAGUAGCUUUUGUUUUGGUGCCAAAACGACCAUAGAAGGGAGCAGACGUGGCGUAAGAUAAAUAACAGUGUAAAAUGGCAGAAAACGCUAGGAAACGUGAACUUCAGCCGUCGACUUCAUCAAAAAGAACAGUAUUACGAGUGGAUAUGAAGAGGAACUCAAUGCCCUCUUGCUAGCUUCAGACCAAUCAGACAGUGAAGGUGAUAUUGAAGAGUUUUUGGUUUUCGACCGUGAACUUCUGCAGUUACGUGAAAGUGACCAAGAUGAAGAUCUAGAGGAGAACAUUUCAAGCAAUGUGGGGAGCGAGAUCACUAGAGAAGGAGAUAACACUGAUAGUUCGGAUGAUGCCUUGCCUUUUUCGGAAUUAUGAAAAUCGAAUUUUGAAAAAAUUGCCAAUGAUUUAUGCCAAACAGAGUGUGUGUCAGAAUUUUUAUGUUUUGUUUUCAGAAGUAGCUUUUAUGUUUUUUUAUCUUUGUAUUGUUUAAUUUUUAGUAAAAAGAGUUACAUUUGUCAUAUCAUUUAUGUAAGGUCUAUUAAAAUGUUAAAAUAAGGAUCUCAAGUCAAUUAAGGCUGAAAAGUACAACUAAGUGUUAAUUAUCAUUUGUGUUUAAAGUGAUUAUAAAAACUGAUUGAAUUAA
rnacentral:lncRNA from 1 species